rnacentral:rRNA from 1 species
CCUACGGGGUGCAGCAGUGGGGAAUAUUGGACAAUGGGCGAAAGCCUGAUCCAGCCAUGCCGCGUGUGUGAAGAAGGCCUUCGGGUUGUAAAGCACUUUCAGUGGGGAAGAAAGCCUUGGGGCUAAUACCCUCGAGGAAGGACAUCACCCACAGAAGAAGCACCGGCUAACUCCGUGCCAGCAGCCGCGGUAAUACGGAGGGUGCGAGCGUUAAUCGGAAUUACUGGGCGUAAAGCGCGCGUAGGCGGUCUGAUAAGCCGGUUGUGAAAGCCCCGGGCUUAACCUGGGAACGGCAUCCGGAACUGUCAGGCUAGAGUGCAGGAGAGGAAGGUAGAAUUCCCGGUGUAGCGGUGAAAUGCGUAGAGAUCGGGAGGAAUACCAGUGGCGAAGGCGGCCUUCUGGACUGACACUGACGCUGAGGUGCGAAAGCGUGGGUAGCAAACAGGAUUAGAUACCCCAGUAGUC